AUAUGGUAAAAUCGGGAACACCUAGAACUGUGUUCGAGACAUGAGGCUGUGGCCAAAGGAAGAGUAAAUCUUUUAGUUCUCAAGCUUAGCGAGCUCCGCUUCUUCCCUUCCACCAAACGGUGGUCAAGAUAUUUAUGGUUCCUUUGUUGGUUUUGCUCCACUCGAUAGAUUUCCGUCUUAAAAUGAGACAUCGUUCGGUAGCAAAUAUGUAACGUGUUUGGGGCUCCUGGUGUAUUUAGUCAUUUUGCACAGUCCAAGCAUGCUCGUGAUAUUGUGAUAUGGUCUCGUCAAGAUUCUUCCUCACUUCUGAUCAUUUAUUAAUCAAGGAUUCAUGCUCAACGCGUAGCGAAGUCGUUUUCUUUGUUUUAUUCUGCGCCAUCCAAGACAAUACCGACAACUUCUUGCUUCUGUGAUCUGUUAAUCAGGACAUUUUACAUUCUUCUGCCUCGGCAUAGGUAUUCGUUUGAGUGCAUUAACUCGGUUAGCAAACUUUUCUCAUGUUGGACGAUCAUUUGACCGGACCCAAACUCGGGAGGUCGGGCUAUCAGAACUCUGUCUGCUAUGGUUUGAGAACGUUAUCGGUGAAACUCGGCGAGAUGAAUUAUUUUUAUCAGCAACGGAGAUUCAAUUUAGCUGAGGUCGGGAUCGAAUCUCAUGUUCCGUUUCUUUUUUAUGAUCCAUUAAGAUUGAUGCCAUCGUGGUGUGAUGGUUCGUUCAUUGUGGUAUUGGACACCAUAUGAGAUGAAUCCAUUUUCGUGCUAACAAGCCUUAGAUCGGGUUCCUA
rnacentral:lncRNA from 1 species